rnacentral:rRNA from 1 species
GAAUUGCAGAAUCCCGUGAACCAUCGAGUCUUUGAACGCAAGUUGCGCCGAAGCCGUUAGGCCGAGGGCACGUCUGCCUGGGCGUCA